rnacentral:rRNA from 1 species
UGCAGUCGUACGAGAACGCUUCAGCUUGCUGAAGCUAGUAAAGUGGCGCACGGGUGAGUAACGCGUGGGUAAUCUACCCCUGAAUUUGGGAUAACAUUGCGAAAGCGAUGCUAAUACCGGAUAAUAUUUAGAUGCCUUAGGGCAUUUAGAUCAAAGAUGGCCUCUACAUGUAAGCUAUUGUUUGGGGAGGAGCCCGCGUACCAUUAGCUAGUUGGUAGGGUAAUGGCCUACCAAGGCGACGAUGGUUAGCUGGUCUGAGAGGAUGAUCAGCCACACUGGAACUGACACACGGUCCAGACUCCUACGGGAGGCAGCAGUGAGGAAUUUUGCGCAAUGGGGGAAACCCUGACGCAGCAACGCCGCGUGAGUGACGAAGGCUUUCGGGUCGUAAAGCUCUGUCAAGUGGGAAGAACUUACCGAGAGAUAAUACCUGUCGGUACUGACGGUACCACUGAAGGAAGCACCGGCUAACUCCGUGCCAGCAGCCGCGGUAAUACGGGGGGUGCAAGCGUUAUUCGGAAUUACUGGGCGUAAAGGGCGCGUAGGCGGCUUUGUAAGUCAAAUGUGAAAGCCCGGGGCUCAACCCUGGAAGUGCAUUUGAAACUAUAAGGCUUGAGUAUGGGAGAGGGAAGUGGAAUUCCUGGUGUAGAGGUGAAAUUCGUAGAUAUCAGGAGGAACACCGGUGGCGAAGGCGACUUCCUGGACCAAUACUGACGCUGAUGCGCGAAGGCGUGGGGAGCAAACAGGAUUAGAUACCCUGGUAGUCCACGCAGUAAACGUUGCAGUCGUAUGCAGUCGUAUGCAGUCGUACG